CGUGCUUAACGCUGGAUCAGAACAUGACAAAACUUGCUAUACCAAUGAACCGACCGGAUAUGUGCUGUUUGCAUGUUUCUGCAUGUAAUAGCGUAGAGUCUAAUCUUAUUGUCGUUGCGAAUGUACCCAUCCACUCACCUCGCCGAUCGGGUCACCACACACCCAAUCAGCUACUCUAUUCAACGAUAUUAACAUGAACCGAUGCAACAGACCGUAUUGUCAUACCAGACGAGAAAUCCUUACACUCUGACCAGACGAACAAGGGCGAAAGCACUCUGCUAAGAGGCCUUCAUUAAUCAAGAACGAGAGUGCAGGGAUCGAAGAUGAUCAGAUACUGUCGUAGUCUGCUACUGUAAACGAUGCAAACUAGGGAUCAGUUGAUGGGACAACAUGAUUCUGUUGACUCGGUUGGUACCUCCGCUUCUCUCUUAACGCGAAAGCUGCAAGUCUUCGUGUUCAGGGGGGAAUACAGUUGCAAGGCUGAAACUUAAAGGAAUUGACGGAAUGACACCACAAGGCGUGGAUGCUGCGGCUUAAUUUGACUCAACACAGAGAAUGUUACCAGAUCAUGAGGUUUGGAGGAUUGACAGAUUGACAGUUCUUUCUUGAUUCAGUUAAUGGUGGUGCAUGGCCGCUCCUGGUUGGUGGAGUGAUUUGUCUGGUUGAUCCCACCCCUUCGAUUUCAGUUAUAUCGUACGUAAUCAUUGGACGCUAUGCAAGGGGACUAUGUGUGUUGAUAACACAUUGAAGUCUGGGCCAAUAGCAGGUCUGUGAUGCUCCUAGAUGUUCUGGGCUGCACCCAUACAAUGGUGAAAGCAGUAGGAUUGGUUCGAUCGAGCUCCUGUUUCGAAAGUAUUGGGAAAUCCCCUCAGAUUUGACUGUGGCUGGGAUAGACAAUUGCAACUGUUUGUCUUGAACUAGGAAUGCCUUGUAAGCACAUCUCAUUACAGUGUAUUGAAUGCGUCCCUGCCCUUUGUACACACCGCCC
rnacentral:rRNA from 1 species